CCUAUGGGGUGCANCAGGCGAGAAAACUUUGCAAUGUGCGAAAGCACGACAAGGUUAAUCCGAGUGGUUUCUGCUAAAGGAACCUUUUGUNAGUCCUAGAAACGAAUUAGUUGANGAAGGGGNGGGCAAUAANGUGGU
rnacentral:rRNA from 1 species